UAUCUACAACUCCCACCCUUUGCGAACCUUACCACUGUUGCCUCGGCGGGACGCGCGGAGAACGCGCUAUAAGCCCGCCGGCGGACUGCUAUAAUACAUUCUGUCACGUGUAACGUAACUCUGAAUGCUUCAAACAAAUAAGUUAAAACUUUCAACAACGGAUCUCUUGGUUCUGGCAUCGAUGAAGAACGCAGCGAAAUGCGAUAAGUAAUGUGAAUUGCAGAAUUCAGUGAAUCAUCGAAUCUUUGAACGCACAUUGCGCCCGUUAGUAUUCUAGCGGGCAUGCCUGUUCGAGCGUCAUUACGACCCUUAAGCCCUGUAGCUUAGCGUUGGGAACCUAGGUUUCCCCCCCUCGGGGGUGUGCCCAGCUCCCUAAAGGUAGUGGCGGAGUCGGGGUCCUGCUCUGAGCGUAGUAGUAUUCUUCUCGCUUCUGUAGUAGCCCCGGCGGCCUGCCGUAAAACACCCCCCUAUAUCUUAGUGGUUGACCUCGAAUCAGGUAGGAAYACCMGCUGAACUUAAGCAUAUCAAAAGGCGGAGGAA
rnacentral:rRNA from 1 species